rnacentral:rRNA from 1 species
GUGGGGAAUCUUGCGCAAUGGGCGAAAGCCUGACGCAGCCAUGCCGCGUGAAUGAUGAAGGUCUUAGGAUUGUAAAAUUCUUUCACCGGGGACGAUAAUGACGGUACCCGGAGAAGAAGCUCCGGCUAACUUCGUGCCAGCAGCCGCGGUAAUACGAAGGGGGCUAGCGUUGCUCGGAAUUACUGGGCGUAAAGGGCGCGUAGGCGGACAUUUAAGUCAGGGGUGAAAUCCCGGGGCUCAACCUCGGAACUGCCUUUGAUACUGGGUGUCUUGAGUAUGAGAGAGGUGUGUGGAACUCCGAGUGUAGAGGUGAAAUUCGUAGAUAUUCGGAAGAACACCAGUGGCGAAGGCGACACACUGGCUCAUUACUGACGCUGAGGCGCGAAAGCGUGGGGAGCAAACAGGAUUAGAAACCCCAGUAGUCC